UGAGCAAUCUGCCCUUCUCAUCGGAAUAAGCGUUGGAAUCGACGUCUAAUGCCGAAUACGACCUCCUUUCGCAUGAUCAGAGGUGGAAAGCUCCGGCGGAGAAGGAUGAGCUCGCGGCCUAUCAGCUAGUUGGUAGUGGUAACGGCCUACCAAGGCGACGACGGCUACGGGGUCUGAGAGGACGACCCCGCACAUUGGAACUGAGACACGGUCCAGACCUCCGUAGGGACGGCG
rnacentral:rRNA from 1 species